rnacentral:rRNA from 1 species
UGGCUCAGAAUGAACGCUGGCGGCGUGCUUAACACAUGCAAGUCGAACGAGAACUCCCGAAGCUUGCUUUGGGAAAGUAAAGUGGCGAACGGGUGAGUAACGCGUGGGUAAUCUAUCCUUGAAUUCGGGAUAACUGACCGAAAGGUGAGCUAAUACCGGGUAACAUCGCAUUUGCCUUGGCGGAUGCGAUCAAAGGCAGCCUCUACAUGUAAGCUGUUGUUCGGGGAGGAGCCCGCGUACCAUUAGCUUGUUGGUGGGGUAAGAGCUUACCAAGGCGACGAUGGUUAGCUGGUCUGAGAGGAUGAUCAGCCACACUGGAACUGACACACGGUCCAGACUCCUACGGGAGGCAGCAGUGAGGAAUUUUGCGCAAUGGGGGAAACCCUGACGCAGCAACGCCGCGUGAGUGAAGAAGGCCUUCGGGUCGUAAAGCUCUGUCGAGUGGGAAGAACCUGUGGCAUGUUAAUGACAUGUCGCACUGACGGUACCAUUAGAGGAAGCACCGGCUAACUCCGUGCCAGCAGCCGCGGUAAUACGGAGGGUGCGAGCGUUAUUCGGAAUUAUUGGGCGUAAAGGGCGAGUAGGCGGCCUUGUAAGUCAGAUGUGAAAGCCCGGGGCUUAACCCCGGAAGUGCAUUUGAAACUACGGGGCUUGAGUAUGGGAGAGGGAAGUGGAAUUCCUGGUGUAGCGGUGAAAUGCGUAGAUAUCAGGAGGAACACCGGUGGCGAAGGCGACUUCCUGGACCAAUACUGACGCUGAGGCGCGAAGGCGUGGGGAGCAAACAGGAUUAGAUACCCUGGUAGUCCACGCAGUAAACGGUGAUCACUAGGUGUAGCGGGUAUUGACCCCUGCUGUGCCGCAGC